GGAGGAGUGCGGCGAAAGGUAAGCCAGCGGUUUGCUAAACCGUAACCGCCAUCAAAAGCGGUUUGUGGGUUCGAUUCCCACCUCCUCCG
rnacentral:tRNA from 1 species